CUUUGUAUGAUAGCGAAAGACAGUAAAGCUAUAUGAGAGUAAAAGGGCAAAAGUAAAAUAAUACAAAGUAGUAAGGAAAGCCCAAGCUAAGGCUACAUAAUGCAGUGUGUCACAAAAUUUAUCCAGGUGUUUCUUGCUUUAAAACACUAGGAAAAGAACUCAAACCCUGUUCUGUUGUUACAAUCUAACACACUUAAGGUUAGCAGUUUGCGUCAAGAGAACCGUUUUCCUUCCUAUGACUUUUAGAAAUAAUUUGCCACAUGCUAAUAGAGUCUUUCUAAGAAGGUGACAUUUGAGCAGAGACCUGAGGGAAUGAGCUUGGAAGCUCUGGAGAAAGCAUUCAUGCAAUGUCAAAAUUCUGGCUAGGAAUGAAGCUGCCUGGUACAAGGAGCAGCAAAAAGGACCAUUUGACUAGAGUGGUGUGAAAAAGGAGGAUGAGAUGAGGUGGGGAGGAAACCACAAGCUAGGUCCCUUAGUGCCUUUUAGACCAAAAUAUGUUUUUGGAUCUGGAUGCGAAGGCCUUCAAAUAAAGUGGUUGAUUAAUUAGUUGUACUAUAAUAUUUCCUGGCAAGGCCUUUGGGAUCAGUAGUAGAAUAACAAGCAUUACAGGAGGUACUGAGAUUUUUCUCCACAAUUACUUAUGUCUGCUAAUAACCUAUUUUCAGAAUUUACAUUUGUUAUGGUCCUCUUCGGUAAAGUUCCUCCUUUGGAAAUCCAGUUCAUAAAAGUUGCUUUUAAAGGUUAUUGAUAUUACUUUCCAUCUCACUUGUUUUACUUUUUAACUUUUUAUUGAAGUACAACAUGUAGAUAACACAAAUCUGAAGUCUGCAAUGAAUGAAGUUGUUUUACAUACAUGUAUAUGUACAUGUACAUGUAUAUGUACAGAGCAACAAUAUAGAACACUUUUAUCCUCAAGUUUUUCUCAUGCUUCUUCCCAACCAAUAAUUUUCCUUUCCCACCAGACAACCCUUAUUGUGACCUCCAUCACCAUCAAUUAGUUUUGCUUGUUCUUGUACUUCACAUAAACAGAAUCAUAGGCUAGAUACUCAGUUGAGUGUAGGUACCUGUAGGUAAAUGUUGCUUUAAACAUUUUGUGGGAAUCAUUUAUAUUGCUGUAUGAAGUGGUAGUUUUUUUCAUUGCUUUGUAGUGUUCCACUGUAUAAAUGUAGCACAGCUCACUCUAACAAUGGGCAUGGAAUGAGACUGCUUGUGUCCAAAUCCUGGUUUCGUGAUAACUUUAUAACCUCAGAAAAGUUCCUGUUAUCACUCUGGAUCAGAAUUCCUGUCUCUAAAUUGGAACAAAAUAGGACCUUGAAAGGGUUGUUAGGAAGAUAAGUCAUGGGAGGUAUAUGUUGAGUCCCGUUGCUCUCUAUAUUCUAGCCACUUUGGCUUUCUUUCUGUUUCUUGAAUUUGUCAUGCUCAGUCCUGUUGAGCAGCCUUUGGGCUUGCAGUUCCUUUUUCCUAAAAUAUAUUAGCUGUCUCCUGACCUAGCUCAUGGUUUGCUUGGGAAUGCUCAUCACCUUAGAUUUCAGGUGAAAUGUCACCUUGUCAGAGAAGCCAUCUUCCGUGACCACCUUAUAUUUAGUGUGGGCCUUAGUGUAAGUUUAAAGAGGGCAGGAGUUUUUGUGUAUAUUGUUUACCACUGUGUUCUUAGUGUAGUGCCUGGGAGACUAGGCACCCAAAUGUGCUAAAUGACUCGUACCAUAAUUGUUUCAAGAACUUCGAGGUGGGUAUUUGCAUUUUCUAACAAGGAAACAGGUUAAAGAGAUUUAACUUGCUCCAGGUUAUAUAGUUUAGAAGAGGUAGGUCUCUGGGUUUAGUGUGUUGGGGUCAUCUUCUGGAGGAGGGGUAGGAUUGGGGUUAUGAGAUAAAAUUAAAGGUUUGGUAGCUGACUUUGAAGCAUCUGAUCACAGAUAACUUUGUUGAGAGCAUAGCUGUUUAGCAUAAAUGUGAUGGUACAAGUUCUCCAUGGUGAUGUGUGUUUUUUUCUCCAGGAGUGUUAGGCAGUUGAGGAAGGGAGAAGGGUUGAUACUAUUUAUUACCUAUGAUUGGGAAUUAGCUGUAGCUGGAAGAAAACAGAAAAUGGUGUUAAAUUGAGAUACCCAGAGCUAAAGGCCUUCGAACUUUUUGUCAGUCUGAGCAAUGCUGUUUUUGCUUUUAACCUUAAAACCAAGGUAACCUUUUACCUUGUUGGGUGGAAUUUUAUUUAUUUUGUUUUUAUAUUUUACUUUUUAUUGAAUGUAUUGGGGUGACAUUUUAAAAGAGCUUAGAACUUUAAAAAUUUGGAAAUCUGUUUCUAAGAGAUCCAAGUCUUAAACAAUCUUACUGCCUUGGAAAGGAGUUUUUCCUCUAUUCUGGGUUACCAGCUACUUCCUUCACAGUUACCUUAGUAGAGAUUUCAGCAUAAUUAUAUUUUACAGUUCACGAGGUUUUUUAAAUUUUUUAUUUUUUGAAUUGCUUCACUGAAACAUCUCAUUUUAUCUGAGUAAGUAUAACUUUGGACAUAUUUACAAUAUGUUUCCAGUUGGUCUCCAUUAAAUAAUAACUUUUUGUCACUGUGAUUCAUUUUUUGCGUGUUUUCAGAUCCUUCCCUUUAGUCCCUUUGUAUUCCAGCAGCCAGCAACUGUUGUCACAGAAACAGUAGAACUCUGAAAACAAGCCACAAGUCAGGUGUAGUUCAGUGCAGCCACAACUUAUUUUAUCUUCACUUUUUCUGAAUU